UAUAUUUUUGUAUGCACUUGAACACCUGAUCUGAAAAGGUAAGCAGGAUCAGGCCUGGGUAGUACUUGGAUGGGAGUCCAGGGAGUCAGCAGGUA
rnacentral:rRNA from 1 species